GUUACAAACAAUAACUCAUUAAAACAGUGCUUGCUAUGCUUCUUACCUUCCUUUUAACUGUCAAAAUUGUAAUCUGUAAGAAACUUUCCUCAGCUAUUAAAAUCCUCUAAUUUCAGCAGAGAAUGCAACAACAGAAUGUGGCAAAUCCUCCUCUUCUGUUGUAGAGAUUUUCAGUGAAAAUUCCCAGCCUUCUCUGACUUACAGUGUCUUGGGUAUUCUCACUGGGAGGAGUAAGCACUUUCAGGUGGGGCUGAGACUGCAGGUACUGUUCACAAAGAACCUGAAGAUAAGUAGCAAUGUUUGUCUGUUGCUGAGAGGUGUUGUGAGGUUUUGUGGACAUUCUGUGCUGAGAAAAUGCAAACACCAUAAAAUAUAGGAAGCCAGACUGUCAAACAAGGGACAAUCAAACUAAACAACCUGUUCUCCGUUCAAGCAUUCCGUUGUGCUAACAGCUACUGGCAAUUUCCCUGUUUGGUGUGAUGAGAGAAGAAGCCGUUUGCUGGCCAGGGGGUUACAAGUGUGGUCUGAUGAACAGUACAGAAAAAAAAAUGCUGGCCACAGGGCUUGGGGGCACAGCUGCACUGGUAGAACCACUGCCAACAUCUUCCUGGCAUGUCCUGCUGUGCUAUCUUCUGCCCCCCAACUGCUCACCACCAGCUCACUUUCCUUCCAGGAGAGCAACGGCUGAAGGCCUACAGCUGUCCAUGGGGAGACAGG
ensembl:lncRNA